rnacentral:lncRNA from 1 species
GAACAUUUGACAAUGAAGAGAUUUAUUGAUUUUUUUUUUUCUACUGAAAUGCCAGACAGUGUGCUAUAUGAUAGGAAACAGCUUUUUAAUUUUUAUUGAUUUAGCUUAUCAAAAAAAAUCUUUCCUCCUCACAUUAUGGAAAGAUACUUAGGGAUGCUUUUGGCAGUCUUAGAGCUUCGAACCCAGUGAAAAUCUCUCACAACUUAAACAUGUGAGUUACUGUAUACUUACUGUGUGAACUUGGUGGCCUCUGUGUGACCCUUUAUCUGUGGAGAUUUGAAGUUCACAUAGAGUUCUUGUAGUUAUCCCAUUUCCAUUUUCAAAACAGCUGCUUUGCUUAGAGAAAAGAUUUUGUUUUGUUCUGUUUUGUUUUUGUUGGCCCUUUGAUAAAACUGUUGCAGUUGCAGGCAGUUACAAAGCAUAGCAUUAUUUGGCAUAUCAUUAGAGUAUAGGAGAGCCUUUAAUCUACAUCUGGGACCCCUGUUUCAGCUUUCUUAGAAGAUUAAAAAAAAAAAAAAGCUAAAUUUAUUCAAAUAGACCAAAAGUGAUUGGAAAGAUUUUCUUUAUUGUUACUGUGUUGAUCAGGCAAAAAGGACUUCAGAAAUUGUAGUUUUUAUAACUGAACUUUUUGUCCAGGCUUGAAUUAUUUGUUCUUUGCCGUGUGCGAUAAGGAAAGGAUGGCGCAGGAAUGGCUGGAGGGCGGUUACCAGGAGGAACGAGUGGGGGUACAAGAUUACAGGAACACAUUGUUCCUUGUAGUGUGUGCAGAGUGUAGUUAAGGUGUUUUCCCUUCCAGAGUAUCUAGCACAGUUCUUGAACUAGGCCUCUACUGGCUAGUUUGGCCUUGUACCGUUGCCAGAUGCAUGUUUCUGAAUGUGCCGCUGGGACCGAUGAGGUGAUGGGUCUGACUUGUACCCGCUGCAGCUCCCGUCUGUGUGGGUGCAGGCGCAGUUUGUGCUCAGGCGCUCUGAAGUUCAGGGAACUCAAUAACCAGGAAAGCAAAGCUGGGUUGAGAGCACCACUUUGACCUAUCAGUCAAGUGCUAAGCCUGAAGUUCGAAAACACUGUUGGUAAGGCCUUUAGCCUUUGCCGGCGGCACUGCAAAUUAGUCACAGCUCUCAGGAAGGGUUAAUGUACCCUGCCUGGGUCCUGUUGGCUCAGAUCUGUUUCUUGCUCUUGCCUUGGGGAGGGACCGUGACCUGCAGGUGUAUUUCCCAGACAUUCUGUGAGUGGUCUUGCCGGCUGGGUUUGGCCAGUGGGAGCUACUGGGGAGUUUGGAAGCUGAAGGAAGGAGAACCUAGGUUCUCGGGUAAGGUUCUUGCCCCAGGCCGCGUCUCUGCAGCUGCUCCUCCUUUAUUCUUGCUCCUGCUCCUGCCACAGGGUCUCUGCUUCUAACUCCUGGCUUUCCUAAGCUCCGAGCUCUGGAAAUGCCUUCUGUCUUCAAACUCCCAACAGAAGGGAGAUCUGGUGGCUCCUCCUGGUCUCUGCGUUGUCUUACUGUUUCCUGUUUUUCUGUCACAUGCGUAACCAAUUCCCUAGGCCAAUUUCCCUCUACUUCAGAGCCUUAAAGAGAUGGCUGUUUACCCUGUUUAGACCCUGAUAUCUAUGGGAAAUGCAGGACACUAUCUUUUAAAAUCACACUGUAAGUCCUCAGACCCAACUGUGCAGUUCUAGGAAUUUAAUGUGGGAAUACAUUUGUGUUUGUGUGAGGCAAUAAAAGCAAAAGAUUAUUCAUUGCCUUGAAUGUCUUAUCAGCAUAAGACUCGGGAGAAUAAAUUCUUAAUAUAGGGGAUGGUGACUCCGAAGCUACAGAGUUGAGGAAAGAGGCAACUGAGUUGAUACAGACACACCUCCAUGAUGUUUUGCUAAACUACAGAAGCAAAGUACGAAAAUAUAAAUUGUGUGCUAGUUUCUGGGUUUUGUUUUUUUUUGUUUUUUAAGGAAGUGCUUGUAGAUGAAUGAACAUUUUCUGGAAGGUUAAACAAAGAACUAAGAACAAUGAUCACCUGUUCAGACAGGUUGAUGAAUUUAGACAGGAAGGAAAUGUUUGAUUCUCUGCCUUUUUAUUUCUCGAAAUUGGAUAAAGUUGAAAUAAAUCUGUCCGCACCAUGCUAAGAUUAGAAAACAAGUUCUUGGGAAAAGUAUUAUUCUGUGCUAGUCAAAACCGCCCCCACCUUCUUUUGUUGGGCACAGGGGAUAUCUCUAAUUCUUGUGCUUGAAGGCUGAGGCAGGGGACUUGCAAAGAGUUUAAGUCCAGCCUGAAGUACAGAGUGGGUCCUAAGGACAGUGUGGGCUACAGAAUAAAUCCUUCUCAAAACAAAACAAACAAAAAACUAUCUCUCCGAAACCAGGACUGGUGGGACACACCUUUAAUCCCAGGACAGAAGGCAGAGGCUGGUGAAUUUCUAUGAGUUUGAGGUCAGUCUUAUAUACAUAGUGAGUUCUGGGUCAGCAAGGACUAUGUAGAGAGAACUUGUCUCAAAAACAAAACAAAAUAUAACCCAAGACAAAACUCUCAAAGCAAGC